ensembl:lncRNA
AUGCGGAUGAGGAAUAUGGUUAAACAUGGAUCGGAUCAGCCAGCAGCUAACACCGCUACUAACAGGCGCUCAAGGUCGAGCAGACAGCGGCAUUCAGCUCAUAGCGCAGCCGAGCCCAGGACUCUGAUAGUGGGUGACUCUAUUAUCAGAAACAUCAGUAGCAGGACUACAACAACAUGCUGCCUUCCUCAAGCAACGGUCUCUGAUGUGAACAAGGAACUUCAGAACAUUCUGAUGAAGCACAAGACUGCAAAUCGAGUCAUUAUCCAUGUGGGGAAGAAUGAUAUUCGGAAAGAGCAGUCAGUACUCCCUAAGAAGGACUUCAGUGAACUCUUUGAAACACUUCAAAGACUCAAAGUUCAGUCAUUCAUCAGUGGACCACUCCCAGCAAGGGGAACAAAAUAUGUUUUCACGGUUGCUUGGGCUGAACACAUGGCUACAAAUAUCUUGCAAUAUAAAAGGAGUGAAUUUCAUCGACAACUUCAGUCUUUUCUAGGGGCCAUAGACAACUGUUUAAACUGGAUGGCAUCCACCCAAACAAACUUGGUGCUAGAGUGCUUAAGGACAAUAUCUACUUUUCUCUCCGUCAUCCUUCAGCAGAGUUUGUCAAUCCAUUCAGCACACACACACCAGGUACGACAAGCCCACAAGGACACUGAUAACACCAUGCAGCCACAACAAGCCUUGUUGAUGGACACUAUGCCGGCUGAGCCCUGCCCACAGAGCUCCUCACAGACACAGUGUGAUGUAUCAAAACAGCUACAAGACUCGGCACCCAAGGACGACUUUCUGGAAAACAGCCAGGGAAGCCAGGACAACAUAUCACAGUCACCGGAAACACCAGAGACACAGCCCCGCUCACCGGACACAUUAUCCCUCUCUCCAGCAUCUCCACUUCUGUGCUUCUCACAGAAAAUGGAGGAAUUGGUGUAUGCUGGAACUAAACUCUCUCACUCAUUCGCUGCAAGCCCGCAGAUAUCAACAAAAAAACGGCGGGCCCCCCAACCACCAAAGCCUGUAAGCCCUGCUCCUGUGAGAGCUCUCCGACCGCUGCCACAACGCCAGGGCCCAAACCUUCCAUCUGCUGUAGGUGAACCAAAAACAACUGAUAGCAGCUCUCAGUGA